AUUGAACGCUGGCGGCAUGCCUUACACAUGCAAGUCGAACGGCAGCAUGGAGAGCUUGUUCUCUGAUGGCGAGUGGCGAACGGGUGAGUAAUGCAUCGGAACGUACCGUGUAAUGGGGGAUAACGUAGCGAAAGUUACGCUAAUACCGCAUACGACCUGAGGGUGAAAGCAGGGGAUCGCAAGACCUUGCGUUAUACGAGCGGCCGAUGUCAGAUUAGCUAGUUGGUGAGGUAAAGGCUCACCAAGGCGACGAUCUGUAGCGGGUCUGAGAGGAUGAUCCGCCACACUGGGACUGAGACACGGCCCAGACUCCUACGGGAGGCAGCAGUGGGGAAUUUUGGACAAUGGGGGCAACCCUGAUCCAGCCAUGCCGCGUGAGUGAAGAAGGCCUUCGGGUUGUAAAGCUCUUUCGGCUGGGAAGAAAUCGCACAGGCUAAUACUCUGUGUGGAUGACGGUACCGGCAUAAGAAGCACCGGCUAACUACGUGCCAGCAGCCGCAGUAA
rnacentral:rRNA from 1 species